AUAUGCCAUAUGCUUAUCUAAAGAGCAAUUUCCGUGGGACAAUUGAUUCGAGUGAGACUCAUGUUCGACCAUCAGGACUCCUGUUACAGUUUGAGCCUGGUACACAACCAAAUGAUGGAAGGUGGACGAGCUAAGUUGUGAUAAACUUGAUAGAUAUGAGCAGGCAGAUUAGAUUCAUGACCCAGAUUUAGAUUCUUUGCAAACUGAUUUGAAGGCUUCAAUCGUGACUCUUUAUCAAGG